GCGGCGGACGGGUGAGUAACACGUGGGCAACCUACCUGUGAGACGGGGAUAACUCCGGGAAACCGGGGCUAAUACCGGAUAACGCAUCGAACCGCAUGGUUCGAUGAUCAAAGAUGGCUUCUCGCUAUCACUCACAGAUGGGCCCGCGGCGCAUUAGUUAGUUGGUGAGGUAACGGCUCACCAAGGCGACGAUGCGUAGCCGACCUGAGAGGGUGAUCGGCCACACUGGGACUGAGACACGGCCCAGACUCCUACGGGAGGCAGCAGUAGGGAAUCAUCCGCAAUGGACGCAAGUCUGACGGUGCAACGCCGCGUGAGCGAUGAAGGUCUUCGGAUCGUAAAGCUCUGUUGUGAGGGAAGAACAAGUGCCGUUCGAAUAGGGCGGCACCUUGACGGUACCUCACCAGAAAGCCCCGGCUAACUACGUGCCAGCAGCCGCGGUAAUACGUAGGGGGCAAGCGUUGUCCGGAAUUAUUGGGCGUAAAGCGCGCGCAGGCGGUUCCUUAAGUCUGAUGUGAAAGGCCACAGCUCAACUGUGGA
rnacentral:rRNA from 1 species